AAUGAUGUUGGUGAUGUCGUUAGAUCUGUAGCUUCUAGAAGAAUAGCAUAGGCUCUUCAUUCCCUACCUCCACUCAAUACGUCUACGACUUACUUAGCUGAGAACGUGGGGAAAACCCUCAGGUGACUGAGCUUAAUUGAGGUGA
rnacentral:ribozyme from 1 species